UUGAAGGCCAAAAACUCCGAGGCGAGC
rnacentral:sRNA from 1 species